AGAGCGAACGCUGGCGGCAGGCUUAACACAUGCAAGUCGAGCGGGCGUAGCAAUACGUCAGCGGCAGACGGGUGAGUAACGCGUGGGAACGUACCUUUUGGUUCGGAACAACCCAGGGAAACUUGGGCUAAUACCGGAUAAGCCCUUACGGGGAAAGAUUUAUCGCCGAAAGAUCGGCCCGCGUCUGAUUAGCUAGUUGGUGAGGUAAUGGCUCACCAAGGCGACGAUCAGUAGCUGGUCUGAGAGGAUGAUCAGCCACACUGGGACUGAGACACGGCCCAGACUCCUACGGGAGGCAGCAGUGGGGAAUCUUGCGCAAUGGGCGAAAGCCUGACGCAGCAACGCCGCGUGAGGGACGAAGGCCUUCGGGUUGUAAACCUCUUUCAGCAGGGACGAUUGUGACGGUACCUGCAGAAGAACGCCCCGGCCAACGUACGCGCCAGCAGCCGC
rnacentral:rRNA from 1 species